UGCUGCAGUAGGUUGCACAGGUGAAGGAGUUCUAAGGGGCCUAUCAGAAAGGCUAGGAGCCACCCUGAGAAAUCUCCUCAGCAAUAACCUGGGAAAAGGGGUCCAGAAAGAUGGAACUGCAGUGAGAGAGGAGUGUGCAGCUCCAUGACAGAUACUGGCAAACAGGCAAAGGUGGCCUCUCCACGAUGGCACUGACGUCCUGCUGCUGGGCCUGCGCUGGGGCUAAGACACUCAAUCCUGCUGCCAUGGAAACCUUCUACAUCCAUAGCUGAGCACCACAUGGCCCCCAUUCCUGUAGGGAAAUGCCACUAUUUACCUUGGAGCAAGAACUAAAAGGCCAGAGUUCGUUCCCACUGACGUCCUUGUCAAAACAUCUCCAUGACUUCUAUGCCAGCAAGGCUGGGCUCAUCAAAACUCUUUCCAAAGACAAAUUUCACUCAACAAGACUGUUGGAACAAUAAACAGCUGUCGGAUGUUCUGCAUACUGACGUCUUCCCAACUGUAAUUCUCAUUAAGUCAAUAGGCUCCGAAAGGCACGGAUGUGUUGAGAUGUAAGUAACUCGCUGUGCAAAGACACAAAAACACAGGGUGAAGAGGGAAUAGUUCAUUCAGGCUGCCCUGUAAUUCAGAGACCAUUUGUAACGUGUACACCCCAUUCCUGCGUGUUUCUCAGGCCGCAUUCAAACUGGUGCCUGUUUGGACCUGAAUUUGAGUUUAAUGAAGAAAGAGAAGGCAAGGUUUUGUGAAGAAGAGAAGAAGGGGGCUUGAGGCGUAGAGCUAUGAGAAGAAUCGUACAGCGGUCUAUGAAAGAGCUGGGAUAAGGUUUCAGCACCGCAGACCAUGGCAUCGCCUUAGGAUCAGCAAGCCACAGGAGACCUAUCGGUUCUGCAGGGAGAAAAAACCCUGACAGCACACGUGAUGUUCCCGUCUUCAUAAUGUGACAUGCUGGAAAAUGCUCUGGGAAAGAUAAAUGACUUGGCUUUUGAGGCUGUUCCUCUUAAAAUAACUAAAACCAGUUUAUGGAGAGUAAAAAAGUGGCACUGAGGUUACAGGAAAAUUCCUCAAAGAUGAUUAUUCUGCAUAAAAGAUAAGGGGCAGUUUCUCUCUCCUUUCAGAACUUGAAUAUUUGAUUGCCCUGUAUUCAGAGCUCUAAUCAGCAGUAGACAUUUCUCCCCCUUCCCCCUGAUUUUUUUAUUGCCCCUUAUUUAUAUUGCAACCCUAUAAUACAUCAAUUGUGAUUCCCCCAUGAAAACAACCCCGCUUCCAAAACAAACCACCCCACAGGGGCCUGAAAGCAGCAUAUGUGGGCUACGCAUUGCGGAUUUAUUGCUACAAAAUGAUUUUACCAGCAGUAUUUGAUGCACGAAAAGAAACCCCCACACACGACAAAAAAAAGUGUUAAGGAUUUAAAACUCGAAGCUCCCUUAGCUUAACAGAGGAAAGGUUAAGGAGUGACUUGAUUACAUCAGUUUGUAACAGGGAGGUUAAUUAACUACUGGAACAAUUUACUAAGGGUCAUGGUGGAUUCUCCAUCACUGGCAAUUUUAAAAUUAAGAUCUGAGGUAUGCUUUUUUAAAGGUAUGCUAUAAGGGAUGUUCUCUGGCCUGUGUUAUACAGGAGCUUAGGCCUUGUCUACACUGGCAAGUUUGUGCACAGUAAAGCAGCAGUCUGCGGUGUAACUUCCGAGGUGUGCACACUGCCAAGCCACUUAGCACGCAGAACCUGCUCAGAUGCAGUGCUGUAAAAACACCACCCUGACAAGAGCUUUCUGGGCCGGGGGUAGAGCGCCAUGGUGCCAGUGUAGACACCCUGGUCAAUGACAGCACUGCGAAUGGCCUCUGGGAGGUGUCCCACAAUGUCUGUCUGGUCAUUGGUUUGAACUCCACUGCCCUGCCCUCAGGUGACCAACCCUGAGCCCCGCUCCUUAAAUUCUUUGGGAAUUUUGAAAGUCCCCUUCCUGUUUGCUUGGUGAAGCGAACAAUGGU